AACAUAGGGGGCAAGCGUUGUCCGGAAUCACUGGGCGUAAAGGGCGCGUAGGUGGUCUGUUAAGUCAGAUGUGAAAUGUAAGGGCUCAACCCUUAACGUGCAUCUGAUACUGGCAGACUUGAGUGCGGAAGAGGCAAGUGGAAUUCCUAGUGUAGCGGUGAAAUGCGUAGAUAUUAGGAGGAACACCAGUGGCGAAGGCGACUUGCUGGGCCGUAACUGACGCUGAGGCGCGAAAGCGUGGGGAGCAAACAGG
rnacentral:rRNA from 2 species